ACCAUUAUUUUUGUAACUUAACAUUUCGUUUAUUGUUUACAUUCUGUUUGUUUACUUUGUUAGUCUUGUCAAGUAUCAGCUGUCAAAUUCGACACACAGGAUAGAUUUUCAGUUGUUGUCUGUGGUCCUUUGAGAAAACUCGUGCCAGAUCGUCAUCGGACAGUGGUCAGUGGCGACAUGACGCUCAGAACAAUGAUCGUGCUGACUAGCCACAGAGUAGUUUUGUGACGAUGAGCUGACAUCCCCGGUGACGGCUUUUUUCGGAACUGGCAAGGAGGCAAACCAUUCUCUGUCAGAACGUCUCGAGUAAAUGUGUGGUUAGAUUUUUCUUCCCGCCCGCGUGGCGCAGGCCGUAUUGGUACCAAGUUCCUUGCUUCAUAUUUCCUGUUACCAGAUACGUGCCACAGACACCCACGCAGCAUCACACCAUGUGUACCUAACCUGAAUUGCCGACAAUUUCAAUCCUGCCCGGUGAAGCGUGCGAUUGCCCGACGCGUGUCACCUGACCCAACCCCAAGGUAAGCGCCAUGACCUUCCACGUGUCGAUUAGGUUAUUUUGCAAGUGUCACGUUUAAACAGCAAAGCUACCGCCUUUGAGACAAGCUCUAACCUUCCCAUAAUUGUUUGAUUAGUGAUUGACCGUAGGUUUUAGGUUAGAAAUACCCAGGGGCCAUUCAAGACACGUCACUUGAGACAUGUUAGCUAGGCCUUCGCUGUCCUUACCGACCCAUCCUUGACCCAAGGCUGUUUCUCGCGAUUCCAGAAGGUGUAGUUGGUGACCAGAGCCGUCAGCGAGCCACGAGCCGUCCGGAGCUCCUGUCCUGGCCCCGUCCAGCUGUCCAGGUUGGCCGUUGUAUGUUCGUUGAGCGGAUACUGAGGAAUUUCCUUAGGAUUUCCAUUAAUCUUCAGCGGCAUCAGCCUUCUAACGCCGCUGCUGAAUGUAGGAUUGCAAAGGCAGAACCCGGGUGGACUCUAGCGGGUUAAAACCUUUAUUUUAUUUUUUUUACUUCGUAGGGAGCCCCGUUAGAACGGGCAGUAGUAUCUAAAUUGCACUUUGAACCUUUUGUAGGCGCUAGGCUAUCAACGUCCUUCGGUUACGGGGCCUUAACGUUAAACUGCUAUCCCAUUGAAGUAAUAUAGAAGUUUCUCUGGGGUUAAUACCAUCUUUCUAUCCCUGUGGCGUGAAACACAGGGGUAGAACCUUUGGUUUCCCCACUUUAAUGUAAUUUCCUUGAAAUACCUUGUAUACUUCAACCAGACAAUUAUAAGGACUUAAUCCCUGGUCUCAUUUUAGACCUAUUUGAGUUAUAAAAUAUUGUGUGAGGCAGGGUUUUGAUAAAUAAAUAUUAAUAACUGUACCACA